rnacentral:rRNA from 1 species
GAUAAUGUAAUAUCAUGCUUACUGUCAUUAGCCCAAGACUGGUUGCCCACUGAAGCUAAGCAGGGUUGAGCUGGUCAGUCCCUGAAUAGCAGACCUUCUGGGAACACUAGGUCGCUGCUGUCA